GCCCCGGUAGCUCAGCCCGGUCAGAGCGGCGGCCUCGUAAGCCGUUGGUCGGGGGUUCAAAUCCCCCCCGGGGCUCCA
rnacentral:tRNA from 2 species